AUUGAACGCUGGCGGCAGGCCUAACACAUGCAAGUCGAGCGGAUGACGGGAGCUUGCUCCUUGAUUCAGCGGCGGACGGGUGAGUAAUGCCUAGGAAUCUGCCUGGUAGUGGGGGACAACGUUUCGAAAGGAACGCUAAUACCGCAUACGUCCUACGGGAGAAAGCAGGGGACCUUCGGGCCUUGCGCUAUCAGAUGAGCCUAGGUCGGAUUAGCUAGUAGGUGAGGUAAUGGCUAACCUAGGCGACGAUCCGUAACUGGUCUGAGAGGAUGAUCAGUCACACUGGAACUGAGACACGGUCCAGACUCCUACGGGAGGCAGCAGUGGGGAAUAUUGGACAAUGGGCGAAAGCCUGAUCCAGCCAUGCCGCGUGUGUGAAGAAGGUCUUCGGAUUGUAAAGCACUUUAAGUUGGGAGGAAGGGCAGCAAGCUAAUACCUUGCUGUUUUGACGUUACCGACAGAAUAAGCACCGGCUAACUCUGUGCCAGCCGCCGCCGUAAGAC
rnacentral:rRNA from 1 species